AAGGACAUGAAGCAUAGAUAUUCCUUAAAGAAUUCUCAUCAAGUUAAUGCCCACAAAAGUAUCAGCUGGCUAAAGAAUGAAAACAUUGUGAAUUUCAAAAACAACACAUCGAUGCCCUGUCCUUAAAACAGAUUACAAUGAUCUACUUUUUCUUCUAAUGUACCCUGGGGGAUCUUUAGGUAAGAGAGCAAGAAAGAGAGAAAGAUCACCUGGAAAACAAGAAAGAGAAUAAGGCUUGCAUCCAAGUGUAUAUGUCUCUAAAGUCUAUGCCUUAUCCAUCCUGCCAAGCGGCCUCCAAGAACAAAUGUGUGAAUCAGGCAAGAUGAAAAUAACAGAAAUUAGAAACAAAAGGUGAUUGCUCUUACUUGGAAACUUUCCUGGCAUUUUGUAGAAAAUGAAAACGUAAGAAGAAUGCUCUUUGCAGAGAGUUUCACAAGCCUGGCCCCCAGUUCAUAAUCUGUGGCAGAAGGCAGGUGCACCCUGAUUCCGGAGUCGUUUAUCAACGUAGCCAAUCAAAACAUAGGCCCCAGGGCCACAACCCUGAUGCGCUUCAUGCCUCCAGUCAAAUCCUCCAUCACUGGAAACUCCAACACCAUUGUCAGAAAACAAACAAAUAAACACACAUGCCAAUAUGAGAGAAUGCUGAGGAAAAUGUUUCACACAAGAAAGAAACAGAAAUGGAAAGGACUAUUCCAAAAUAAAAUGUGUAAUUUGAUGUUAAUAACACUUCAUUGCUCUCUGAUUAAAGAUCUUCAUCCAGA